rnacentral:rRNA from 1 species
UCGGGAAUUUUGGGCAAUGGGCGAAAGCCUGACCCAGCAACGCCGCGUGAAGGAUGAAGUAUUUCGGUAUGUAAACUUCGAAAGAAUAGGAAGAAUAAAUGACGGUACUAUUUAUAAGGUCCGGCUAACUACGUGCCAGCAGCCGCGGUAAUACGUAGGGACCAAGCGUUGUUCGGAUUUACUGGGCGUAAAGGGCGCGUAGGCGGCAAUUCAAGUCAUCUGUGAAAUCUCCGGGCUUAACUCGGAACGGUCAGAUGAUACUGCUUUGCUAGAGUGCAGAAGGGGCAAUCGGAAUUCUUGGUGUAGCGGUGAAAUGCGUAGAUAUCAAGAGGAACACCUGAGGUGAAGACGGGUUGCUGGGCUGACACUGACGCUGAGGCGCGAAAGCUAGGGGAGCAAACGGGAUUAGAUACCCCAGUAGUCCCUGAGCGGGCUGGCAAGGCGCAU